AAUCACUCAGCUGACGGGCAGGCUCCUUAUCGUGGAUGCGGGAGAGGGACCACCAGAAAGGUCCCACCAAAAGCACAUCUGGGUGGAGAAUGUCCAAACAGAAGAGCUAUGUUGUCUGUUGCAACUUGAAGUGAUGAACACUCGAAGAUCUCCUGACCUCAGCCUGGGGCUGCUGAGGGUUCAGGUCCAUUUCAGAAACAGAGAAACAUGCAUAGGGGGAACCUCAAAAGAGAAAAUCUCUGUGGGUCUGAGGUUUUCCUCUGCUACUCCUCAGCCUCUCCUGCUUUCUGUUUAUUCAUCUCUUUCCUCUCUUGUAGCUGAGACAGGCUGUCUAGACAUUGCAGAUGUGGACAGAUGUUGGGUCUGUAAUUUAUAACAACGGCCUCCAGAAGGCAAUUCCAAUUUGUUUCGGACGUGAGCUAUCAGCAGUGGGCUCCUGAAACCGUGCCUGCUGCUUGCUGCCCGACCUCUCAUCAUGGUGGGCUCGUAUCCCUCUGGAACCACAGGCUCAAGGAAACUCUUUCCUCUAUAAGUUGCCUUGGUUAUGGAGUUUUAUCAUAGCAACAGAAAAGCAACUAAGACAGAGAGACAGCUGACCACGUCUGAGUAAUCACAAGGCUUUCCCAGGGUGCAACACGUCUGCAGACAGCUGGAGUAGGAGCUGGAGUGAAGGCCAGGCUGGUUCUGGUUCUGUUGCAAUGGCUAGAGAAAGUCUUCUCUAAAGGCUGCUUCCAGCUUGGAGCAUUUAGACCUCACAGAAGGGUGGACAUGGCGGGAACGUGCUUUGUAACCAGGAGCAUCGAGCAAAGAGGCUGGAGAGGUAAGUUCUGGUCCUACCACUGCCCAGGCUGACUCCUAGGUUUGUAAAACUCGCUCUGAGCAUCUACCUGCUCCUUGAAGACUUCUGUGAAAGGUCUUCCUUCUCCGUGCCUGGUGCAUUCAGCUCUGAUGCCUUCAGAGGUGAGUGGAUUUCCAUUUCCAGAGAAUGAAAAAAAAAUGAGCAGAAGCCCUGCUGAACCUGGGUGGCACUGAGAAGAUGCCUCAGAGCCCCGGGCCGCAGUUAAGGUGACGAGAUGCAGCAAUUCUUUAUGAACAUUUCAUUCCUGCUCGCUACACGACGUAAAUUAGAUGGUGUGUUACAUUCGGGCAAUAAGAGAGAUAUGUCACCACGACGCUGGCCCAUUGGAUGGAGAGGGGGUUUGGCGAAGAGCUGAAAGGAUUUCACCCUGAUGUGCACACUACUGAGUGACCCCGCUCACCAGCGGCUCCGCUGAUUGCUUUGCACCUUGCAGACUCCUCUCAGCCUCUUGCCGGCCUCGGCCUCGCUCCCUCCGGGUCUCCAGCCCACCCCGCCCCUGCCUGGCUUUCUCUUGAAGCCAAAGCCAAGAGACUUAACAGAGUCACAAAGGUCAUGAAGGGAUGUGUCUGUGGGGAGAAGCAGGGCGGAGGAACUAAAACCAAAAUAAA